GCAAUCAAUAGAGGUGCGGGGGACAGGGUACUGCUUCGUGAGGACAGACACUCGCAGAGCGGGGCAGGAAGGGGUCCUUCGCCGAAAGGGCAUGACGGGUCUGGUGUCAUGGUCUUGGGGUCGAGGUGUAAGCGUCGGCACUGUCAUGUCGAAAGACGUGGAGCGCUAUUGGUCAG
rfam:Firmicutes bacterium CAG:83 genomic scaffold, scf302